CGCUAUCACUCCUACGGGAGGCAGCAGUGGGGAAUAUUGCACAAUGGGGGAAACCCUGAUGCAGCCAUGCCGCGUGUGUGAAGAAGGCCUUCGGGUUGUUAAAGCACUUUCAGUAGGGAGGAAGGUAGUGUAGUUAACACCUGCAUUAUUUGACGUUACCUACAGAAGAAGCACCGGCUAACUCCGUGCCAGCAGCCGCGGUAAUACGGAGGGUGCGAGCGUUAAUCGGAAUUACUGGGCGUAAAGCGCAUGCAGGCGGCCUGUUAAGUCAGAUGUGAAAGCCCGGGGCUUAACCUCGGAAUUGCAUUUGAAACUGGUAGGCUAGAGUUUGUAGAGGGGGUAGAAUUUCAGGUGUAGCGGUGAAAUGCGUAGAGAUCUGAAGGAAUACCAGUGGCGAAGGCGGCCCCCUGGACAAAGACUGACGCUCAGAUGCGAAAGCGUGGGGAGCAAACAGGAUUAGAUACCCUGGUAG
rnacentral:rRNA from 1 species